GCCGAGAUAGCUCAGCCCGGUAGAGCAGCGCACUCGUAACGCGAAGGUCGCAGGUUCGAUUCCUGUUUUCGGCACCA
rnacentral:tRNA from 2 species